rnacentral:rRNA from 1 species
GAUGAACGCUAGCGACAGGCUUAACACAUGCAAGUCGAGGGGCAGCAUACUAAUCAGCUUGCUGAUUAUGGUGGCGACCGGCGCACGGGUGAGUAACGCGUAUGCAACCUACCUAUCAGAGGGGGAUAGCCCAUCGAAAGAUGGAUUAAUACCGCAUAAAACAGGGGCCUCGCAUGAGGAUAUUUGUUAAAGAGAUUCGCUGAUAGAUGGGCAUGCGUUCCAUUAGUUAGUUGGUGAGGUAACGGCUCACCAAGACAUCGAUGGAUAGGGGUUCUGAGAGGAAGGUCCCCCACACUGGUACUGAGACACGGACCAGACUCCUACGGGAGGCAGCAGUGAGGAAUAUUGGUCAAUGGGCGAGAGCCUGAACCAGCCAAAUCGCGUGAAGGACGACGGUAUUAUGUAUUGUAAACUUCUUUUAUAAGGGAAUAAAAAGUAGGACGUGUCCUAUGUUGCAUGUACCUUAUGAAUAAGCAUCGGCUAACUCCGUGCCAGCCGCCGCAGUAACAC